UGGGGAUGACGUCAAGUCCUCAUGGCCCUUAUAGGUGGGCUACACACGUCAUACAAUGGCUGGUACAAAGGGUUGCCAACCCGCGAGGGGGAGCCAAUCCCAUAAAGCCAUUCGUAGUCCGGAUCGCAGUCUGCAACUCGACUGCGUGAAGUCGGAAUCGCUAGUAAUCGUGGAUCAGAAUGUCACGGUGAAUACGUUCCCGGGUCUU
rnacentral:rRNA from 1 species